UCCUAGCUGUCGCGCUACGUGACGGUGGCCUAUCGUGCCGUUUCCUCAAAGUUUCAGGAUUCAUUGUCAUAUCUUCUGUGGUCUCCUUUUGGCUACCUCGGCUCAGCACUUCGCCUGAGGUCCCGAUACCGCUUCUGAGUGCAGUUACAGCUUGCGGCCGGCCUCCGGUCACAAGGGUUUUUUGCCGUUUGAGAGGAUUUGCAACCUGAGGUCACUCUAAAGGAUGGGCCUGUGGAGUCACAAAAGAGAAAAUGGACUCACUGAGGAGAGGAAGACUUUGAAAGGCCUAGCCCCUAGUCAGACACCUGAAAUGAGACCAUCCUGCGGCCGAGCUCGCAGCUCAGUACCUGCCUUCCCCUCGUCCACUUCUCGGACUACUUGGCUAGCACAGGCCCAGGGGUGGAAGCGGAGGCCGACUCUGGGCUGAGCGCGCUGCAGUAAGACUCCCUGAUUUGCCGAGGUGCUAAUCUGGAAAGUCAGUGCGCCACGUGGGCUGAAAUCAAGGGCUCCUCCAAGAAGUCCUCGUACCUGUUGAGUUUUCCGCAAAAUGGGCGGAACCACGUGGCUCUGAAAGUACCGGCGAGUGUGGUAGUCCUGCUGUGCAUUGUAGGGCGGAAUAGCCGACCAGAGUUUGGGCCUAGUGUAGCCAUAGGCACGGGACACGGUGCUCACGGCUACCCCAUCCAAAAUAAAGCCCUUCUCCAAUCGCAGAGGA